GGAUGCGAUCAUACCAGCACUAAAGCAUCGGAUCCCAUCAGAACUCCGAAGUUAAGCGUGCUUGGGCGAGAGUAGUACUGGGAUGGGUGACCUCCUGGGAAGUCCUCGUGUUGCAUUCCC
rnacentral:rRNA from 1 species